rnacentral:rRNA from 1 species
AUGCCGGUGAAAAAGAUAGGGCAUGAGCGCGUCGAGCAAGAUGGUGGGGUGCUCUCGAAUACCGGGUUCCCACGGGCGUUCGAGUCAUCGUUAACGGCACUUGGUGAAUCUCAAACCGGUCUUGGCGUCUCAUCGUGUAGUCGUACUUGGCGUUUCCGUGUGGUACUCGUCGAGCAACAGAAGAAGUUGUGGUUCGAUGGUCUUGGCCGCAAAGGUGGUUGCAGCCACGGAAGGCCGUCAGAGAGGAAGCAGUGGCGCGAGGAGGGCCAUGGCAGGCACGGGUCUGCCGGACUUGCAGCUGCGGCUGAUGAUGACGGCAGAGGAGACCUGCUGGUGCUGCUCACUAGCGAGAGGACGGCGAGGGAGGAGCAAGACGGCGGAAAACUCGGAGCUCGGGGAUGA